UACGUAGGGUGCAGGCGUUAAUCGGAAUUACUGGGCGUAAAGCGUGCGCAGGCGGUCUUUUAAGUCAGAUGUGAAAUCCCCGGGCUUAACCUGGGAACUGCGUUUGAAACUGGAAGGCUAGAGUGUGGCAGAGGGGGGUGGAAUUCCACGUGUAGCAGUGAAAUGCGUAGAUAUGUGGAGGAACACCGAUGGCGAAGGCAGCCUCCUGGGCCAGCACUGACGCUCAUGCACGAAAGCGUGGGGAGCAAACAGG
rnacentral:rRNA from 1 species